rnacentral:rRNA from 1 species
UGCGUAGGCGGACUAAUAAGUCAGGGGUGAAAUCCAACAGCUUAACUGUUGAACUGCCUUUGAUACUGUUAGUCUUGAAUUAUAUGGAAGUAGAUAGAAUGUGUAGUGUAGCGGUGAAAUGCUUAGAGAUUACACAGAAUACCGAUUGCGAAGGCAGUCUACUACGUAUAUAUUGACGCUAAUGGACGAAAGCGUGGGGAGCGAACAGGAUUAGAUACCCUGGUAGUCC